rnacentral:rRNA from 1 species
UACGUAGGGCGCGAGCGUGUCCGGAAUUAUUGGGCGUAAAGAGCUCGUAGGCGGCCUGUCGCGUCGGUUGUGAAAGCCCGGGGCUCAACCCCGGGUCUGCAGUCGAUACGGGCAGGCUAGAGUUCGGUAGGGGAGAUCGGAAUUCCUGGUGUAGCGGUGGAAAUGACGCAGAUAUCAGGAGGAACACCGGUGGCGAAGGCGGAUCUCUGGGCCGACACUGACGCUGAGGAGCGAAAGCGUGGGGAGCGAACAGG